CAGCAGGGGGCAGUAGAGCGUUUCUUCCUAAUUGAAUGGUAUUACCUGCAGACCGGAAGUGACUCGUCAUUCUGAUGAGAGCGACCAGUCUGUGGACAACUGAGACGUUUUAUGUGCUUUUUCCUCCUGUUUAACAGACAUGGUUAUCGAAGUUAAGCUCUCAGGGAUGGCAAAUCAGAGGUGGGACCAAGUCAUUGUUUUGCAAGUCACAAGGCUUCCCGGUGGAACAGAGGUUAGUGCGUCUGCCUCACAAUACCAAGGUCCUGAGUAGUCCUGGGUUCAAUCCCGGGCUCGGGAUCUUUCUGUGUGGGUUCAGUCCGAGUACUCCGGCUUCCUCCCACCUCCAAAGACAUGCACCUGGGGAUAGGCUCCUCCCACCUCCAAAGACAUGCACCUGGGGAUAGGCUCCUCCCACCUCCAAAGACAUGCACCUGGGGAUAGGCUCCUCCCACCUCUAAAAACAUGCACCUGGGGAUAGGUUGAUUGGCAACACUAAAUGGUCCCUAGUGUGUGAAUGUGAGUGUGAAUGUUGUCUGUCUGUGUUGGCCCUGCGAUGAGGUGGAGACUUGUCCAGGGUGUACACCGCCUUCCGCUCGAUUGUAGCUGAGAUAGGCUCCAGCGCCCCCAAUGAUCCCAAAGGGAAUAAGCGGUAGGAAAUGGAUGGGCAUUUUGUUUUCACGUAAAUAAGAUCAGGAAAUAAUCAAGCCGGCGGAGUUGAAUGAGGGCCAACACAUGUUUUAGCUCAAAAGUUAAUACAAAAUAAAUCAUCGUAAGGCAAUUAUUGGAAUAUUUUGUCGAUAUUGUUACUUUGCUUGAUUAUUCACAAAUAAGUUUACAAAAUAUAUUUUGAGUCGGAAAAUAAUCGAAACCAAACUCAUUCAGGGAUGUUAAAAUGUUCAAGGUAAAAAGUAUCGGUAUCGCACAGUACUUUGUAUCGAACGGAUACCAAAAUGUGCAGUAUCGCAUAAUUCUACUGAUGGCAAUGUCAGGUGAUGUGUGCUGAAGCCACGCCUACUUUUUUACAAUUAAAGGCCUAAAUAAUAAGUUACCAAGCAGUCCUGUAAAUGCUGAUUAAAUCACAUGGCACAUUGUCAAGGAUGAUUUCAUAAUACAUGUUUUAUAAAAAAUAAAUGUAUGAAAGAAAAUUAUUUCAACCUUCCACAAAAGUUAUUAAUACAUUUAAUGUAAAGUUUGUUAAAUACAUCAAGAAAACAAUGACAGUUUUGUACACUGACAUCAACUCUAUUUACACUCACAAUAUUUAAGAUAUGUAACAUUUAAAAUAUGUUUAUCAGAAAUGGUCCUGUGUUGAGGUGGCGACUUGUCCAGCGUGUACACCGAGAGGGACAAGCGGUAGGGUAGAAAAAGGAUGGACGGACGGAUGGCAACGAGAGACAAACUAAUCACACCUUAGAAACACUACCUUGUAUAAACACAAGGGGGCGCCAUUUAGCAGUCAAUCAUUUGUAUGUUUUUGUCCUCUUAGCUCCUGCACAUGAACAUGAGUUGUUGUAAAAUCCACUUUAAGUAGACACAAGCAACAAUUGUGACUCCAAGUGGCUGAAAAAAUGCACACAAAGUGUUUCUUAGAGUAACUUUAUUAUGAAGACGCAGGGCUCAGAUUGUGCUAGAAGCUUGCACCAGGCCUUAGUAUAAAACAUUCUGAUCAAGUAACACUUUUCUCCUCUUCAGUUCUGGCUUUGAUUUCUCUGCUAUAAUGGAUACUGUAUCUUCUAUAACAGGGGUCGGCAACCCUCUUGCGGCUCUUUGAUCACUCUGAUGUGGCUCAGCUGAUUAAUUGCAGACACCCCCAUUUUUUCCGGAAGGUUUCAGGAUUUCAGUGCCUCUUCCAGUGAUCUCCCGGGGUUAAGUAUUCUCCGAUUUUUACCCGGACAACAAUAUCGACGACACCAAUAUAGAGGGCGUGCCGUCAUGGCAAAGCCUUUGAUGCACUCUGGAAUACGACGUAACGUCCGCAUUUACACCAUUCUACCUGCGUACCUGUCGGUCACAUGUAGUGCGUGACUUUAGUUGUCACACCUAGGUGACUACAAGGCAUACUUGCUCAACAGCCAUACAGGUUACACUGAAGGUUGUGAUGUAAACAACUUUAACACUCUUACUAACAUGCACCACACUGUGAACCCACACAUAACACAUUUCGGGAGAACAUCCGCACUGUAACACAACAUAAACACAACAGAACAAAUACCCAGAAUCCCAUGCGUCCUUAACCCUUCCGGGCUACAUUGUACACCCCCACCUCAACCGACGCACGGAGGGGGGGGUUGGUAUAGCUCGGUUGGUAGAGCGGCCGUGUCAGCAACUUGAGGGUUGCAGGUUCGAUCCCCGCUUCCGCCAUUCUAGUCAAUGCCGCUGUGUCCUUGGGCAAGACACUUUACCCGCCUGCUCCCAGUGCCACCCACACUGGUUUAAAUGUAAUUUAGAUAUUGGGUUUCACUAUGUAAAGCGCUUUGAGUCACUUGAAGAAAAAGCGCUCUAUAAAUAUAAUUCACUUCACUUCACGUGGUGGUAGCGGGGGUGUAUAAUGUAGCCCGGAAGAGUUAGGGAUGCAGGGGAUUGUGGGUAUUUGUUCUGUUGUGUUACGGUGAGGAUGUUUUCUCGAAAUGUGUUUGUCAUUCUUGUUUGGUGUGGGUUCACAGUGUGG